UCGAUUUAAUUAAAGUCUAAAAAUCAUAGACCCAGCUCCUAUGCGUCGAGUGAUUUCAGAGCUCUUUCUCUUUGCUGUCUUCGAAGGGUAAUCUGGAUGCUGGAGGGUCGCUCUCUGGCUUGACAAACUCAGUUUGUUUCCAUAGUUACAAAACACUUGUGUUCUCCCGGACCCACAAUCCAUCAGGAGGGGUACGCUGGCUGCCUGGUAACCAUGCCACCAUUUCCUGAAUUCGCAGGAAAUUCAAACAUUAGAAAGGCAUUCUGACAGAUGUGAGAUGAUACCUCACUGUGGUUUGAAUUUACAUUUUCUGACUGAUUCAUGAGGCUGAACAUUGUUUUCAUAUACCUGUUGGCCAUUUGUAUGUCUUCUUUCGAGAAAUGUCUAUUCAGUCAAUAUACUAGAGUGAUGUGACAAACAA
rnacentral:lncRNA from 1 species